GACGAACGCUGGCGGCGUGCUUAACACAUGCAAGUCGAACGGAAAGGCCCUGCUUUUGUGGGGUGCUCGAGUGGCGAACGGGUGAGUAACACGUGAGUAACCUGCCCUUGACUUUGGGAUAACUUCAGGAAACUGGGGCUAAUACCGGAUAGGAGCUCCUGCUGCAUGGUGGGGGUUGGAAAGUUUCGGCGGUUGGGGAUGGACUCGCGGCUUAUCAGCUUGUUGGUGGGGUAGUGGCUUACCAAGGCUUUGACGGGUAGCCGGCCUGAGGGGGUGACCGGCGACUGUGGGAUGGAGGUAAGCCCGCAGCCCGUAGGGGGGGCGUGGGGGGGAGUUUGGACAGAAAGGGCGGAGCCUGUGUGCAGGACGGCGGUGGGGGGGGUGGCGGCAGUCGGGUUGUAAGCCGCUUGCGCCUGCGCCGAGGCUUGGUGCCCGGUAAGGGGCAAAGAACCCCGGCCAAACUCGGGG
rnacentral:rRNA from 1 species